CGGUACAUGCCCCGUUCAGGUUACGUGUUACCAGGCAUCGGUAUAGUAACAGAGAGUUCAGAUCAUGGCUCAGAUUCAGACACUUUGGCGGGAUCGCUGCCUGUGCAAGUCGAGCAGCGGCACGGACUUCGGUCUGGUGGCGAGUAUGGCGAACGGGUAGGUAAUGUAUCGGAACGUGCCUAGUAGCGGGGGAUAACUACUAGCAAUGGCCAGCUAUUACGCCAUACGCCGUGGAAAGCGGGGGACCUUCGGGCCUCGCGCACUAUUAGAGCGGCCGAUAUCGGAUUAGCUGGUUGGUGGGGUAAGCAGGCUGCUGGGCGACGAUCAAUAGCUGGUUUGAGAGGACGAUACCAGCCACACCAGGACUGAGACACGACUGAACUCCUACGGGGAGAGCGGUGCCGAAGAAGUACACGGACGAUGGGGAAACCCUGAUCAGCAAAUAAAGUAUUGAUGAAGGCCUUCGGGUUGUAAAGCACACUUUUGGCAGGAAAACGGCACGGGAUAAUACCCGUGCAACUGACGGUGCCUGCAGGAAUAAGCACCGGCUAACUACAUUGCCAGCAGCCGCGGUAAUACGUAAGGUGCAAGCGUUAAUCGGAAUUACUGGGCGUAAAGCGUGCGCAGGCGGUUCGGAAGAAAGAUGUGAAAUCCCAGAGCUUAACUUUGGAACUGCAUUUUUAACUACCGAGCUAGAGUGUGUCGGAAGGAGGUGGAAUUCCGCGUGUAGCAGUGAAAUGCGUAGAUAUGCGGAGAGACACCGAUGGCGAAGGCAGCCUCCUGGGAUAACACUGACGCUCAUGCACAGCGUGGGGAGCAAACAGGAUUAGAUACCCUGGUAGUCCACGCCCUAAACGAUGUCAACUAGCUGUUGGGGCCUUCGGGCCUUAGUGUUAGCGCAACUAACGCGUGAAGUUGACCGCCUGGGAGUACGGUCGCAAGAUUAAAACUCAAAGGAAUUAGGAGGCAGGGACCCGCACAAGCGGUGGAUGAUGUGGAUUAAUUCGAUGCAACGCGAAAAACCUUACUACCCCCUUGGCCUGUCACAGAUCCCGAAGGAUUUGGGAGUGCUCGCAAGAAGGGAGCCGAACUGAGUGCUGCAUGGCUGUCGUCAGCUCGUGUGUCGUGAGAUGUUGGGUUAAGUCCGCAACGAGCGCAACCCUUGUCAUUAGUUGCUACGAAGGGCACUCUAAUGAGACUGCCGGUGACAAACCGGAGGAAGGUGGGGAUGACGUCAAGUCUAUGUGGCCCUUAUGGGUGAGGCCCACGUCAUACAAUGAGAUUCCGGGACGAGGUCCGCCAGCUGCGAGGAAAUUAAUCCCAAAGCCCAGAUCAUGGUCCGGAUCGCAGGUCGCUCGACUGCGUGGAAGUCGGAAUCGCUAGUAAUCACAUGGAUCGGCGUAUUCUUGGUGAAUGCGUUCCCGGGUCUUGUACACACCGCCCGUCCACACCAUGGGAGUGGGUUUACCAAGUAGUUAGCCUAACCGUAAGGAGGGCGAUUACCACGUGAGGUCCAUGACUGGGUGAAGUCGUAACAAGGUAG
rnacentral:rRNA from 1 species